CACAGUGGAGGCAAACACAUAAAGGAAGGAAAUGAAACACAAUAGGGCAAUAACUUGAAAAUAAAACAGGAAACACUGAAGACUAGACUGAGAAAUGUAAAAGUACAAGGGCAAAAGGUUAAACAAGCGAUGACUCACAAAAGGUGGGGUGUAUGAGUCGACACAAACCACAACAGCAUCAGUUUGUCGACUUUACCACAACUUUUUCCUGUCAUGCCGCUUGUCAGCGUGAAGUCAGUUGAGCAGAUGUCUGAACCCUGCAGAACAAAACAAAGAACUAAGUGAAAAAGCAAGAAAAGUCCAUCCUGGAGAAGAACACUCGACUGAAAUUUUAAACAAGGCAAUCAGUAAGGGGAGCCUCAAUGGUCUGCAGACUUUCUGUCAGAUGAAAACAAACUGACACUGCUUGAUAUUCAGCGCCGUGUAUGACAUCAAAAUCGGCCUCAACACAGGUUAAAUGAGACACAUCACCAUUACACUCACUAUCAUGGAUGAAGAAACACAACAGGGUUUGAUGAUCAGUACAUGGUCUUACAUCACCGCCGAUCACAAAAUUCACAGGCUACCUUUCAGAUGAUUAUAUUUGGACACUUCUGCUUUAGAAACAGCACAAACAUGUUUUUGUCCUGAUAAAAUUGUGGAGCAAAGUCAUCAAAGACAGGGAACCUGUAAUCAGUGUGAGUACAAGCACUUUGUUUUGUGAUGUGAUCUGUGCUCCUUUCUUAUUUUCACGCCCUGUUGCUUUAAAAUCAAUGACACUUGAGUAAAUGAAAACAAAUCCACUAAUCCUGUAAGAAUAACAACCUUCACACUAUCCUUAUGUCUGUGAUAGCCUUUUUAGGUCUUUGUCACCUACAGAUGACACACUGCUGCAGCUGACUGAGGGGACAGAGGGAGGUGUAUCUGCAGGGACUGCAGAGGAGAUGGGCAGAAAACAUAAGACAGAAGGUCAACCCAAUGUCACUACAAUGUUCAGCAUGCCGCAAGCCAAGUUUCACUCUGGUCUCAAACUUUUGCACUGACUUUGUCAAACUCUUUUUGUAACUCUGUGUGAACAUGUC